rnacentral:lncRNA from 1 species
AAUUCAAACAACAUUACUAAUCAGAAGACGGGUGCCGGAAUCAUCCGUAAGAUACCGGGUUGGAUACGAAAAGGUGCAAAACCAGGAGGCAAAGUCGCCGGCAAAGCUUGUAAAAUUUGCUCAUGUAAAUACCAGAUUUGCAGCAAAUGUCCUAAAUGUCAUGACUAAAGUUAGGCCUUGAGACUAUGUACUUGUGCUGGUGUGAGUUUAAUUUUGAGAGUAAAGGGAAAGUUAUGAAUAGCCUAAUAUAAUUCUAUUACUAUGUUUUCUUAGUAAUUCUUAUUGUUGAAACUUGGAACAGGUCUUUGGGUCAAAAUGUACCUCUUGUCUUGUAGUCUUUCAACUGUAUAGUAUUGUACUGUAUUUUUCUUUAGCCACUUGAUAUCAAAUCCGAUUAAAUGUAAUUUGCGUUGCAUAUGUUUUACCACAGUCAGACCUUUCUAUAACAACAUUCGUAUAUAACAGCCUUUCAUUAUAAAAAUCAAUUUUUUCUUGGAAUCGAUUUUUUAUGUUAUGCUAUAAUAUAUGUUUUCUUUAACAGCACUUCACUAUAGCAGCAAAAAAAUAUCGAAACAAACGAGAUUGUUAUCGAUGGGUUUGACUGUACAAGGAAACGGGUUCUUAUAAAAAGGUUUAUCAUUUUUAGAGUUCGAACCUAAGAUCUUUGAUUAAGUUGGGUAUAGAAAUAACCUUUAUCCGUAGUAUAUAUACCGGGAUCUUGUAUCAGCGAUUAUAUAAUAAUUACUUGAUCCCAAAGACAUUAUAGGAGCUUAAUUUGGAAGAGCAAUUUGCUC